rnacentral:rRNA from 1 species
UUUCCAGAGAUGGAUUGGUGCCUUCGGGAACCGUGAGACAGGUGCUGCAUGGCUGUCGUCAGCUCGUGUUGUGAAAUGUUGGGUUAAGUCCCGCAACGAGCGCAACCCUUAUCCUUUGUUGCCAGCGGUCCGGCCGGGAACUCAAAGGAGACUGCCAGUGAUAAACUGGAGGAAGGUGGGGAUGACGUCAAGUCAUCAUGGCCCUUACGACCAGGGCUACACACGUGCUACAAUGGCGCAUACAAAGAGAAGCGACCUCGCGAGAGCAAGCGGACCUCAUAAAGUGCGUCGUAGUCCGGAUUGGAGUCUGCAACUCGACUCCAUGAAGUCGGAAUCGCUAGUAAUCGUGGAUCAGAAUGCCACGGUGAAUACGUUCCCGGGCCUUGUACACACCGCCCGUCACACCAUGGGAGUGGGUUGCAAAAGAAGUAGGUAGCUUAACCUUCGGGAGGGCGCUUACCACUUUGUGAUUCAUGACUGGGGUGAAGUCGUAACAAGGUAACCGUAGGGGAACCUGC